rnacentral:rRNA from 1 species
CCUACGGGGGGCAGCAGUGGGGAAUAUUGGACAAUGGGCGAAAGCCUGAUCCAGCCAUGCCGCGUGUGUGAAGAAGGCCUUCGGGUUGUAAAGCACUUUCAGUGGGGAAGAAAGCCUUGGGGCUAAUACCCUCGAGGAAGGACAUCACCCACAGAAGAAGCACCGGCUAACUCCGUGCCAGCAGCCGCGGUAAUACGGAGGGUGCGAGCGUUAAUCGGAAUUACUGGGCGUAAAGCGCGCGUAGGCGGUCUGAUAAGCCGGUUGUGAAAGCCCCGGGCUCAACCUGGGAACGGCAUCCGGAACUGUCAGGCUAGAGUGCAGGAGAGGAAGGUAGAAUUCCCGGUGUAGCGGUGAAAUGCGUAGAGAUCGGGAGGAAUACCAGUGGCGAAGGCGGCCUUCUGGACUGACACUGACGCUGAAGUGCGAAAGCGUGGGUAGCAAACAGGAUUAGAUACCCGAGUAGUC